rnacentral:rRNA from 1 species
GAUGAACGCUAGCUACAGGCUUAACACAUGCAAGUCGAGGGGCAGCACAGUGUAGCAAUACAUGGGUGGCGACCGGCGCACGGGUGCGUAACGCGUAUCCAACCUUCCCGUUACUCUUGGAUAGCCUUCCGAAAGGGAGAUUAAUACAAGAUGGUAUUCAAAUUCCGCAUGUUAUUUGAAUUAAAGAUUUAUCGGUAACGGAUGGGGAUGCGUGACAUUAGAUAGUAGGCGGGGUAACGGCCCACCUAGUCUACGAUGUCUAGGGGUUCUGAGAGGAAGGUCCCCCACACUGGAACUGAGACACGGUCCAGACUCCUACGGGAGGCAGCAGUGAGGAAUAUUGGUCAAUGGUCGGAAGACUGAACCAGCCAAGUAGCGUGAAGGAUGAA